CGGUCUCCUCCUAAAGAGUAACGGAGGAGCACGAAGGUUGGCUAAUCCUGGUCGGACAUCAGGAGGUUAGUGCAAUGGCAUAAGCCAGCUUGACUGCGAGCGUGACGGCGCGAGCAGGUGCGAAAGCAGGUCAUAGUGAUCCGGUGGUUCUGAAUGGAAGGGCCAUCGCUCAACGGAUAAAAGGUACUCCGGGGAUAACAGGCUGAUACCGCCCAAGAGUUCAUAUCGACGGCGGUGUUUGGCACCUCGAUGUCGGCUCAUCACAUCCUGGGGCUGAAGUAGGUCCCAAGGGUAUGGCUGUUCGCCAUUUAAAGUGGUACGCGAGCUGGGUUUAGAACGUCGUGAGACAGUUCGGUCCCUAUCUGCCGUGGGCGCUGGAGAACUGAGGGGGGCUGCUCCUAGUACGAGAGGACCGGAGUGGACGCAUCACUGGUGUUCGGGUUGUCAUGCCAAUGGCACUGCCCGGUAGCUAAAUGCGGAAGAGAUAAGUGCUGAAAGCAUCUAAGCACGAAACUUGCCCCGAGAUGAGUUCUCCCUGACCCUUUAAGGGUCCUGAAGGAACGUUGAAGACGACGACGUUGAUAGGCCGGGUGUGUAAGCGCAGCGAUGCGUUGAGCUAACCGGUACUAAUGAACCGUGAGGCUUAACCUUACAACGCCGAAGGUGUUU
rnacentral:rRNA from 1 species